rnacentral:tRNA from 1 species
GGAGGUAUGGCUUAGCUGUAGAGCACCUACUGAAUAAGCAUGAGGUUCUGAGUUCAAACCCCAGUACUGCCA